GAUGAACGCUGGCGGCGUGCCUAAUACAUGCAAGUCGAGCGAACAGACGAGGAGCUUGCUCCUCUGACGUUAGCGGCGGACGGGUGAGUAACACGUGGAUAACCUACCUAUAAGACUGGGAUAACUUCGGGAAACCGGAGCUAAUACCGGAUAAUAUAUUGAACCGCAUGGUUCAAUAGUGAAAGACGGUUUUGCUGUCACUUAUAGAUGGAUCCGCGCCGCAUUAGCUAGUUGGUAAGGUAACGGCUUACCAAGGCAACGAUGCGUAGCCGACCUGAGAGGGUGAGCGGCCACACUGGAACUGAGACACGGUCCAGACUCCUACGGGGGGCAGCAGUAGGGAAUCUUCCGCAAUGGGCGAAAGCCUGACGGAGCAACGCCGCGUGAGUGAUGAGGGUCUUCGGAUCGUAAAACUCUGUUAUUAGGGAAGAACAAAUGUGUAAGUAACUAUGCACGUCUUGACGGUACCUAAUCAGAAAGCCACGGCUAACUACGUG
rnacentral:rRNA from 1 species